CCCUUUGGGGGUGUUGGGGACUCACGGGAGACCGCCGGGGUCAACUCGGAGGAAGGUGGGGACGACGUCAAGUCAUCAUGCCCCUUAUGUCUUGGGCUGCACACGUGCUACAAUGGCCGGUACAAUGAGCUGCGAUACCGCGAGGUGGAGCGAAUCUCAAAAAGCCGGUCUCAGUUCGGAUUGGGGUCUGCAACUCGACCCCAUGAAGUCGGAGUCGCUAGUAAUCGCAGAUCAGCAUUGCUGCGGUGAAUACGUUCCCGGGCCUUGUACACACCGCCCGUCACGUCACGAAAGUCGGUAACACCCGAAGCCGGUGGCCCAACCCCUUGUGGGAGGGAGC
rnacentral:rRNA from 1 species